UACAGAGGGGGCAAGCGUUAUUCGGAAUUAUUGGGCGUAAAGGGCGCGUAGGUGGUGGCUUAAGCGUGCGGUGAAAGCUCGGAGCUCAACUCCGAGUCGGCCGUGCGAACUGGGCUCACUGGAGCAUAGUAGAGGCAGGUGGAAUUCCGGGUGUAGCGGUGGAAUGCGUAGAGAUCCGGAAGAACACCGGUGGCGAAGGCGGCCUGCUGGGCUAUGGCUGACACUGAGGCGCGACAGCGUGGGGAGCAAACAGG
rnacentral:rRNA from 1 species